UACGUAGGUGGCAAGCGUUGUCCGGAAUCACUGGGCGUAAAGCGCGCGCAGGCGGCGAUCUACGUCUGGGGUGAAAGCCCGGAGCUCAACUCCGGGACUGCCUUGGAUACGGGAUCGCUUGAGGAUUGGAGAGGCAAGGGGAAUUCCACGUGUAGCGGUGAAAUGCGUAGAUAUGUGGAGGAACACCUGUGGCGAAGGCGCCUUGC
rnacentral:rRNA from 1 species